rnacentral:lncRNA from 1 species
ACCUCAAGAACCCAAAAGGCCCAUAGCCUUUCAACCUAGGGCCCAACUAGCCCUAGAGCCUCCAUAAAGCCCUCAUGAAUGAUGGACCUUGGCCUUAGCCUUGGUCCCCUGGGCCUUGGGCACACCACUUGGAUCACAACAGCAACAUAGCUACACAGCAUGUCUGGCCUCUAUGGAUCGUCCACACGAAUUAGAAAUUCAGGUAGUCCAAUGCCUAAGUGUAGUGAGUUGCUUGCAAGUCACCGUGGCGGUCUC